rnacentral:rRNA from 1 species
UACGGAGGGUGCAAGCGUUAAUCGGAAUUACUGGGCGUAAAGCGUGCGCAGGCGGUUGUGCAAGACAGAGGUGAAAUCCCCGGGCUUAACCUGGGAAUGGCCUUUGUGACUGCACGGCUAGAGUGUGUCAGAGGGGGGUAGAAUUCCACGUGUAGCAGUGAAAUGCGUAGAGAUGUGGAGGAAUACCGAUGGCGAAGGCAGCCCCCUGGGAUAACACUGACGCUCAGGCACGAAAGCGUGGGGAGCAAACAGG